UGACGUCUAGGUGGCCAAAGUGGCCGCGGAGGAAGUAGUCAAGGAAGCAAAACUAAAGGCAAAGCGGCCCAUGUCAGGAAGAGGUAAAGAGUUACAAGAAUCUCAGAAGAAAACCUUAUGCAUUUUCACUCCGGAUAGAAAAUAUUGCGUUGUGCAACAAAAGGAGUACAAUUAAGAAUAUUAAACAGUCUAAAUAAAGUG